rfam:Puccinia graminis f. sp. tritici CRL 75-36-700-3 supercont2.59 genomic scaffold, whole genome shotgun sequence.
GCGUCUGUAGCCUAGUUGGUAAAGGCAGAACUCUAGUAUGUGUCUCAGCAUUGCUGAGGUUGUGAGUUUGAAUCUCACCAGACACA